CACAGAGCUGAAUGCAGCGGCUGCAAGGAAAUGUUUCACAGAGAGGAUCCCAGAGCACUUUUCGUUCACCAACGCCAACGCUCAGCCCUGCAGAGAUAGAGGAGGAAUUAAGAGCUCUCCAGGAUAUUCCCUCCCAUCUGAGCCUGUGCGUGGAAGCUGAGUCUGCAGACCAUCCCACUCUUCAAAGAGAGUAACGAAA